UUCAGAAGGAUCUUUGUCUUCCUCUGGAGAAUGAGGCCCUCAGAAUUUAAUAACUGACCUAUUGGCCAGACGUGCUCUACCAUCAAAGUAAUCACAGAGAGAGACUGACAGAAGUUCUGCUCUCCACCAUGAGGUACUCCAAAGUGUGCAGGCAAAAGGAUGUGCUGGUGGCCAAAAAGGAGUAUGUCGCCUGCAGCUGACAGCAAGAAUGUGAUCUAACAGAGAGCUGAAGCAGCAAAGGGCAGCAAAGCCUUGGUCAGGAAGAGAUCCAAUCAAGAUGGCAGCUUGGUUGUUUUUUCUAGUGUGUUCCUGAGCAGACAGAGCCUCGCAAAUGCAGCUUGUCACGUACCUCCCCUGGAAGCUCCGUCAUUCACAUGGAACUUGUGUUUAAUAUAUCCCACUUGAAUUAUAUCAAACAUGCUGUUCUCUGGGAGAUAAUGCACUUAUUAAAAAGCAUACCAGAUUAUAAAUAUCUACUGGCACACAGAGGCUUCUCAGACAAUGACAGAACAAUAACGACUCGGUCCCUGCAGCUCCCCCUGCAUACAAAGCCGGACUUCUGUCAGCUCUCUGCAAGAAAGUCUUUUCAAUGGCAAAUCACAGAUGAUGGGAUUGAAAGGAUCAAGGUACUACUCAGAUCCAGCCCCUUGCAUUGAGCAGGGGAGGACUCUGUGGUGCUUGAUUCAUUGUGAGCAUCUGAUCUCUCCUUCGAGCCUGUGUCAUAACUCUCCCAUUAUUCAAAAUGUUCCACCAGAUUUACAGGCAAAGUUUUCCCAGGAUGUGAGUGAGAUUUUUAUCUAUUUUUCAUUACUAGGAUGCAGUGUGUUACCUUUUUGGAAUCCAGCAUGAGAAAUUAUUUUUCUCCCUGUACAAAUUUUCCUACCUCAGAUGAUUUGAUGAGAUCAGAGCAGGGUGAAUGACAGAUGCUCAAGUCCAGCAGCACUGAACCCUAUAGGUGGUCCCCAUUUGAUCCACUGAAGCACAGUGGUUAAAUUUAUGAGUUUCUUUGCCAUUCCUCUCUUCCAUUACUACAUCAGUUUUCCAGCUGAGGAACACAGAGCAUUCCCCAUGACCAAAUAAGCACCACCACUCCUGCUGUGCUGCUGUCUGACAAACAACCACUUAAGCUACUCAGCAAACAGCCCUAGUGUAGGCUCCACGUGCCUCAGUUAGAAAUAAUCUCUGAAUAAUUAAUGGACUGGGAAGAAUCUCAAUUCAGUGGCUUUUCAGUCCCCUCAGAGUGGGUAUCACCCUUUCCUUUAUUAAUAUUUUUAAGCUUUGCAAUUUUAGCCUAUCCUGUUACUAAUUUAUAUUUCCUAAAAUAAAGCUUACACACACUUUCAGUAUUUCAGUAAUAUUUAAUCUAUCUAAAACAUGGAGUGAUUCAUCUAUCCAGUAGAAACACAUGUGACAUUACUUAUAUAAAAUCAGUGCACCCUUUAUAAUCCUCAUUCCCUCCCAACCACUCUUAAAAUUACUGAGAAAUGUUUCAUCUUCAAGUUUGGAAUGCAGGUUCAGAAAUAGGGCUUCAGAUGACAAAAUGAAGAGAGAAUACCAUCUUGUAAAAGUACAAAUUUGGGAUUAAAUGUUUUCAGAAAAAGGGUAAUUUCUCUUUCUGUACUGCUUAUUUUCACUGAAGAUUUUUUUGGGAGUUGAAGAAAGAAAUGUGUUAGAUAAAAUCUUGGUUCUCUAUGCAACAUGAAGAUAAGAGCAUGAAAAUCAGUUGUGUUUGAAAAAUUACACUGACAUUUAAGUGUCUUUGUAAACAGCUUGGAGCAACUGUUCAGUUGUGAAGUAACCCUUAGUCUCCCCCAUCAUUUAGGGUACUGAAUUUCAUGUGCCAUGGAAACCUGCCAAAAAAAUGAAGGAGAGUUCUAAUCUUUGGCACUAGUUUAUCUGUUUGGUUAUACUUUGUUGAAAAUAUCUGAUUUUGAAAAUUCAGGCUUGCUGCUUGCUAUGUGAUAUAAACCCCUACUUUCCAGCCAUGGACCAUGCACAAGAGAGACUUCAUCCAAUUACCUAAUGUGUUUACUGACUCUCUUAAAUCAGGAUCUGUGAAUCAGGUUGUGAAUUCCUAUUUUUCAUCAAUGGCAAUAAAGAUUCAUGGGGAUAGAAUCAUAGGGAAAAACUCACAGGAUCAUGUAGACUGGUGCAUUCAGCUCUAUUGUUGGAAAAUAAAAGUUCCUCACUGGUAAUAACUGAUAUUUCAUCUGUCACUAUUCUCUCUCUUUUUCCUUGAUAACAAGAGAUAUGAAUAGUACUGUGCUUUGUUUUCCAUCACUGAGCUUGAUUAAUCAGCAGAAGGAAGGUAAUUCAAACUUGAGGUCACAUAAUUAAAGUAUUUCUGAGUAGUACUCAAACCAUUAAAGGAAACAAAUGUGUCAAAAGAAGCAUCAGUAUUUCUUUUUAAUUUUACAAAUACAUAUAGACAUAAAAAAUGAUAUGUUUCCAGUUCAUCUUAGUCAUCAACACUACAUUAAAAAAAAUAACUAGUCUGUACUCUCUCAACCAUAAAAAAAAUAUAUCUAGAGAAACUAGAAGCCUGACACAUUUGGCAAUAAAUACACAAAGACAUUAAUUCAAAACUCAUUCAAUCUUUCUCCCAUUACUGCUAUCAAAACGUAAUUUAUGUAGAUUUAAACAGUACACUUUAAAUAUAAUAUGAACUUGAGAAAUACCACUAACAUUGAGAAUCAGUAUUGCUUGCAAGUUUAUUUUCCUUUUUUUAAUAGUGCUUCUUUUCUUCUUGCCUGAGCUGCCCAUCAACUCUGUGUAACGCUCAAAGUGUUGUCAGACAAAGUAAACAUGCAUAAGUAUCACCAUCCUACUCACAAUCAUGAAGGUCUAGGGCAAUUUGAAUUUUCUUUCAGCCAAGAUACUCGUGGGUUCCCUCUUCUCUGUGCAAGCCUCUUUGCACAGUAUCGCAGUUUGAUGUGCACAGAUGAGUGAGAGAGAACUGCUGCAUGUACAUGGAGUCAUAAUCUUGGAACUCCAACAUCUUGUAGGCUUUAGAUACAAUGUGUGGAUAGGAGUUUGGGUUUUUUUCACAGUCUCUGUGAAAUAAUGUUGAGAUAAUGGUUUUGUACAUAUUCUUGGUGUGAGGAGUGACUGCAUCACUGUCAUAUGUUAAUUCGACUCUAACCUGUCUGUUGGAAGCUUAAUUUUCUCAAUAUUUCCCAAAAUUCACUAGAGCAAGGGUUCUUAGUCCUUGGAAUAUUGGUGGUCAAGUGUUUUUGUUUUAUUUUAGCCUAUGAGUUUAGAGACCAAAACAGUGCCUUUUUAACACCUAUGCAAAUGUGACUGUGUAAUUCUUGUCAGUCAAAGCCAGUGCCAGGACCAUGUGUGAUGGUCUACAGGCUGGCACAGCCCUAUUCCCACCAGGAAAGCAUCUCUCCAAUCUGCUGUGUUUCUCCCUGUUGUGAUCUCCUGGGCAAUUGUAACUCAGACAUGCUUGUUCAAUAACAGAUAGAGACAAAGGUGAAGAGAAGGGUAAAGAGUCAAAAGAAGUUAAAAAUAUUUUAAUCUGACACAGAAGGAUUGUGCUGCUAAGAUUAAGAGACAACACAAUCUGAAUAACAGAACCUGAGCAGCAUCCCUGCCUGAAGGGGAAUUCACUCUAUCUCCUUCCCAGACAUGUAUCAUGCAUGUCGGGUGAUAUUUGAAUUUGAAUUUGUCAUUUCCUCUCCCUUGUAUUUCACUGACAGAGCAAGCAAUAAUUAUGAAUAUUGUGCCACAUAACUAACCAUGUCAACUCUUUAAUAGCUUUAUAUCUGCUAGAUGCACGAAUUCAUGUAGGAUGUUCUGUGGUAUGUAGAGCUGAAUUUAAAAUUUGUGAGCCAAGGGCUUGGGCAACUCUGUAAGGUUUGAUUAUGCCCUAAUACCAUGACUUAAAAUCUUUAUAUUACUAUCUUAGCUAUACCAAGUAGUAAUAUUAAUAGGUCUUCCACAAUUUCAUGCUGCCAUUUGUGUGGCAAUCUUGCUGACGAAAAUACAACAUAUGCUGUCUCUGACCUAACUCUCAAACAGAAAGAUGUGCUUCAGUAGAUCAGUAUGUAUCUACCAUUCUUGGAAUAACCAUGAUUAUUUCAACGAGGCUGAUGUAGUAAGAGAAGAUAAGUUCACUUAGAAACUGUUCCCUUGACUAUAUGAUGCUUAACUUUUUGAAAAGCUGUUCCAAAAUUUGUGCAAGUGCUAGAAGCAGCUUUCAAAAUCAAUGGCUGUGUUUUCAAAUCUUGUGGACAGACUGACAAGUUUAUGAAACAUGUAGUCCAGAAGCCACAUAGAUCUGCUCUGUGAGCCAAAUAACCUCUUGAAGUCUUUCCCUAGUAUUUUUAAAAUUCUGGGUUCUCAUUAAUGGUUUCCAUGUUAUGCAAAGGGAGUCUGAGCCUUUGCUCUCUCAUAAUAUGUUCAUACAGGAUGGUGCUGGGCUUGUUACAGCAGAUACGUAGAGGGUUGAAUCUGGAAUUUUGAGUGAUAGGAAGAUUUAGAUGCUUAAAUGCCUUGGGAGGUGUAUGCUGAAUCCUUUGUGUCAAACUAUAGACAUUACUGUCACAAUGCUGUCACAUAUAAACACAGGAUCUAACUCCAAAUGUCAACUUCUGAUGUUGAUUUUUCGAGACUUCACCCAUUGAUUAUAUUUAUUUGCCACUGGCCCUGAAUUUGCUCAGUCACAGUAACAAAUCCAGUGCAGCCUGGAAAAGGGUUGAAUGAGGAGAGAGAGUUAUGUAGUUGUAUGUAUGCAGCUAUCUUCACAGGACACAAAAUAGAGUUUUUGUUCUCUUUUUCAGAUUAUGUGGAUUUAACAGUUGCCAUGAUAGUUAAUAACACUUUAACAAUGUGCCUACAACAUCAGAUUUUUUGCACUCGUGUUACACAGGCAUGCUUGUUCUUGGUGGUUUGGUGGGCCAGAAGCAGCAUGUCCCCACUUUGCUUUACUCCUGCAACUUUUGGCAGCUGGCUAACACAGCAGUACCUUCAACCUGCCAUCAUGCACUGCUUCCUUAUCCUCUCCUUUUUCUCUCCUCCCUCUUGUAAUAAAAUCAAUCUGGUUCUCCUGCCAUUAAUUUUCAUUUGGUUUUGCAUAACUUGUAUAACUGUUAAGAAUUAAAGCACAUGCUCAAGCACAGCGGGAUGACUGAACCCUGAAAUUGUUUCCUAUGAGGUGUAAAAAUUCUACUGUUCCCUUCUUCACAAUUUCAUUAUUUUCAUGUCUGUGUUCCUUGAAAAGAAUGUAUAUAUAGGGGUGCAGGAUUUUAUGGUGGCAAUGCUUGGCCUCAUGUCUUGAUUUGUGGUGUUUUUCUCUAAGGAAACACUGUCUUUCAAUGGGCAAAUCUACAUAUUAUAGAAAAUGCAGGCCUCCACUUUAGAGUGAGGUGAGGCAUCCUUUGAUGGUGCCUGCUCCCCACUGGUUAUAAAAGAAAUCUGGGAAAGUAACCUCAAUCUCAAUGACUCUCUUUAGAACGACAUACAUUAGGCAAGGCCAAGGGAACUCAGGGUGUUCUCCAGCCCUGGUUGCACAGGCACAGAGCUCCAGUUGCUCCUGCUGGAAGCUCUGGGCUAUGAGCCCACAUUCAGGCCCCUUUCCCGGGGGACUGGCUUUAGACACAGCCCGCUGGCUUGCUGAUUAUAAUACAGGUGCAGCAGCGGGUCCGCAGGCACACACAGCCCCUGAUAAAGCUGCAGCAAUUGUUUGUGUUAAUAGGGUUUUAAAUUGCAUCAGGAGGCACAAAAGGUGUCUGAGAACUGGAGACAGAGAGAUGAAAGGAUAAUGAAAAUUUGGUACUGUAAAGAUUGAAUUUUACCUCUUCUCUCAGUGACCUUAACUCUUCGGAUGAAGCAACAAAGAAUGGGAGCCAUCCUAUAUAUUAUAUUAAGUCUGCAAGGGCUUUGUGAAGCUCUCACUUUAGCCCAUGCCCCUAAAUAUGUUUUUGAUUUACAUUAUGGAGAGCUGUAGAGAAUGCCUUUCUCAUUUUGAUCAUGAUGGUUCAAUCAGAUUUUGUUGCUACACAGCGGAUGCUUGUAGUGUUUAUAUUUUCCUGCACUGGCACAUCUAAUUUAAACAAAAGUAACUCCACAUGGUGUAAGGGUAUUUCUAAAGGGAGGCUGUCAUGGAGAGAAAAGUAUUUCUGCAAUUUCCACAGAAUAUGGUGUUGGUGCUGGAGACAUCUGGAAAUGUAUCUCACUCUACAUCCAAUUUAUAGGAUCAGAAAGAGAUAUGACCUACUGAUUAAUGGGAAAUGAGACACUAAUUCAAUUUUUAAAGAAUAGAUGUUCAGAGAUUUUUUAGAUUGCAUUACUAUAUUCAUCUGUUUCAUUUUGUGUCCUACAAUAAAAAGCUUACCAGAUACUUUGGUGUGAUGUAUUUUGUCUGGCACGUUAUCUCAUCUGAUGUCUUGAAGCUGAAGUCAUUUAUUUAGACCCCGGGACUUAGAAUGAAGCUAAUCUCAUUUCCUUAGACCACUGCCCACUGCUGCAAUGUUAUAGGGAUCUAAAAGCUCUGCAGGUAAUGUAUAUACAGCACUCAUUAGUGACGCUGAACAAAUUGAUGUGAACUAUAAUUCUACAUGUCAAACAGCACUCAACAAAUAAGCACUUGCAAUAAAUAUGUCAAUUUCCAUAAUUCUCUAGUUUUAAAGAGUCAUUCAAACAUGUAUCCCAGGACAGCACUUUCAUGUUUUAUCAAGUACGCUUGUUUGUGUUUGGAGCGCGAUUUUUCAUAUUUUCCAGAAGAGUUUUUUUUUUUUUAUUCUCAAGCAGAAAUGACAGGGCUAUAGAUAAGGUAGAAAAACCUAAUUAAGGACCGUGAUAAAAGCCAUAUGAUAUUUAAUAAGUGUUUCUGUUUUUCUGUCUAUCCAAGAUUCUAUUUUCCAUAAAUUAUGUGAUAAAAUAUUUCUUCUGCUUGCCACAGAAAAGUAUAAUAAACCAAAAUUUUUGAAAAAGCCUGCUUUAAGGCUUUCCAGGCAGUUAGCCUUGUCCCCAUGUGCUACACUGACAAACAAAAUGUGACAACUUUGCUUAAAUUAAAUUCUUCCCUGUGAUAUGGAAACAUGAAUCAAUCAAAACUGAAGUGAUGGGGAUCACUAUUAUGCUGGAUGUAAUAAGGAAAAAAAAGAAAAGGCCCUAUGUGAAAGAGAAAGGAAUUUGUUCCACACUGACAAGAUGAAAAGCAGGUUUGAAAGCUGAGCCUGUGAUAAGGGAGAGCUUCCCCAAGCUUUUUUGCAGUUACCCAAGGACAUGCAGAAUAGUGACUGUUGAGUGUCUGAGCAUUGUGUGUGACUGCAGGUGUCGUGGGUCUCACUCUUUCCUUCUAUACUGUCAUUCUUAUAGCCAGCAGGAGAGUUGCACUGCAUGUGUAGCUGCAGUGAAAGUCAAUUUCUGUCCAAACUCUGUCACUCUGGUUUGACUGGUGGAUGGAAAGGUGAACAAGGGCUGUUAUCUGCAUGGAAUUUUCCUGGGAGGAAGGACAAAGAGAUGGUUCCAGGCACAAUUUUUAUAAAAUUUUAGGAAGCCUGACCCAAACCAGGCUUUGUGAAAUUGUGGUAAAGUGUUCACUUUAACAACAACAACAAAAACAAAACAAAAACAAAACAAAACAAAACAAAACAAAAUAAAAAAUAAAUCAAAAAAACCCAACAAAAAAAAAUUUAAAAAAAUCACAAUUUCUAUUCAAACAUAGUAUUUGUCAGCAUAGUGAAAAAAACAGUCCUUCUAAUACUAUGGAUAUAUUGAUUUUUAUGGGAAAAGUUAUCCAGUGAAAAAAAGAAUGUCUCUGUUAAGUCAAAUGAAAUUUAAAUUCAUAUUAAUUUUUUGGAGGACUGACUAGCUUCAUUCUGCUUUCCUGUUUCUGCUAGGAUUUCUGGAAGCUCUCUUUAAGGCACUAGCACAAUUCUGGAGUCAGGAUGUCUGACUGGGUGAUGUGGAGAAUGUAGAAUAACUUGCUUUGCUGAGUUAGAAAUGUCCUGCUUAUUUUGUGUGUCUCUAGUCAUGUCUGGGGAUUUCUCUUGCCAUAUUUGUCCAGUCCCUUGAGCCCUUGAGCUCCUGUAAACUUUGAAAAUCCUUUGGCAGAGUGAUUCUUUGCUCUCCUGUUUCUUGGUUGCUCUCUUCACCAAUCCUACUAACCUGGUUGGAUGUUCCCUAGUUCUUGAAUUGAUUAUUCUUGCUUUAUUUUUGGUGUCAUGUGUCCAAAACAGAGGAUUACAUUCCAGAGAGCUCCACACUGGCAGCAGGCCUUGCAUCAGUGAGCUCAUGGUUAUCCCCAUCCUGGGUGUACGUGGGGCCAAGAGGGCAGGGAGAGGUUGGGAAUGUUCCAGACCUUUGCACUGGUGUGGAGUGAGUGUCCUUGGCCCCACACUGACACAGCCCUCUUGCCUCCCUCAGCCCUACAAACAACUCUGCAGGCAUUACAUCUGGAAGUUCAACAGUCUGUCCACUACCACCUCUGCUUUUGGAGAUGAUGCAACAGA